ACUUAUCCCUUCUCUAUCCUAUUUUCAUUCUCUCUUUUCGGCCGCAAGAAGAAGAAAAAGAAGAGGACGAAGAGAUAAGAGCAGUAGAUGGCGGUGAAGCAAAAGAUAUUGGUGCACAGAUCGCACCUAUCGUUAAACUUGAAGAAGUUUACAACUGAAAAGAGAAACUAUACCGAUUUGAUAAAGAUGAAAAUCAAUAGAAAGAGGAGUUGAAACUUUGAAGAUUCUUAAACAUAAAUAGACUGAGAAAGUUGGGUUGGUUAUGAGACAAUCUAAGCCAUUCAAGUUCUGUGCUAAUCAUCUAGGUUUGUUGUUUUCUGUUUCCGAAUUGAUUUUGGUUCUAUUUGAGGUGUUGAUUUGAUUUGUGAGAUUUGUUUAGUGUUUUUUUUGUUGUUGAGAUUUUUCGCAAUAGGGUUAUCAUUCAAGUUCAGAAGAAGAAGGAAAGGAUUGUGUGAAAUCUGAACCCUAAAUUCCCAAUUUUAGGGUUCUUUUUUAUAUGAAGCUCCAAAUGAUUAGAUCUUGAUAUCUUCAUAUGAUGGUGUUUAACAGAGAUUUUGGUUUUGGAACGGAUGUGAAGCUUCCACUAGUAAUGGAGGGAUCGAUUAUGAUCAAAUUACUGCCGAAGUGGAACAAAGGCUAUGAGGAGUUCGCACAAUUUAGCAUUUGGGUCAGGGUAUCUUCCACUAAAGUUGUUUUUUGAUUAUGUACUUACAUUUUGCGGGAGAUUUAAGCAGACAGUCUAGAUAGACUAGUCCUUGGUGUUAUAACUUUAUUGUUGACAAUGCAUGGUGUCUUUGAUGUUGUGUUCUUUUACUGCCUCAGAGGCAUUAACCAUGGAAUUGUUGUUGCUAGGAUGGAUGCUAAACCUUAAGUUGAUUAAAUUACUUUCUUAUGUUUGGGUGAAUCCAGAUCCUGGUUUGAAAACCAGGGAAAGUAGAUGAUGCUCCAGAGUGCGAUAAGUUCUCUAAGUAUUACUGCGAUUUUUCCCCGGAGAAUGGGUAUGUACUGCUAAGAUUUUAUAAUCUCAUUUUCCUUAUCCUUCUUUUGAGCUGAUGGGAUUUUGGGGAUUGUUGAAGAAGAAUUCCAGGCAUAGAUGAAUGUUAGGACAUGGAUGCAGCUGCAAUUUGUUGGUGGUGGUUUUGAGCUUACCUAAAUCAUAAAUCCGUGUGAAUGUUAGCCUGCAGCAUAAUUCAAUGAAGGAUAAAUAUCAUAAAUUCGUAUGGUUAGGAACUUACUUAGGCUAUAAGUAGGUGUUCUUAUGUAUGUAGGCUGAACCGAAUCAUUAUGAAGUUUAGGAAUACUAAAUUAAAAUUACUUGUUUGGCCUUUAUAAAUUACUAAUUGCAGUAAUAAAAUGAUUUUUCUGGCACUUUGAUGUGUAUGUCUGUUUGAAAUUAUAACAUUACUAGGUAUCAUGCAAUACGGUGAUGCCAUCCUCUAUUUUGUCGAGUCACCUGCACUUGCGUCCCCUGGGGUUGGCAGGGUAGGAAAAUACAAUCUUCCACUUUGUUUGUUUUUUCCCUUCCCUUGAACUUUGUCUGGCUGGUCUUUUUAUCUCUUAUUUCGUUAUAGUUUCUGAAGGUACUCUUUAUCAUGGUUUGCAUUUUACUAAAGAUUUCACUACUGUGAAAGGAUAUAGUUAUGUUGAUUGAUUGGGUUGAUAACCAGCUCUAGCAGGAAGGUGACUUUUUGGUCUGUAGAGGUGUAUCUAUGCAGCUUAGGCAAAUAAAGCCUGCACUUUCUUCAUUACAUUCUGUAUAAUUUAAAGAUGGUCUAAAAUCCUUAUUGUUGUCUGAAGGAUUGAUUAUAAUAAAAUUACUGCCGAAGUGGAACAAAGGCUAUGAGGAGUUUGCACUAUAUGGCCAUGUGCGUCAAGGUAUCUCCAACAAUCCAUGUGAAAGAUGAAGAUGUUAUUUGUCUCUUGUUCUAAAGGGCUAUUGCUCUUUGUAAACCAAUGAAUUCAUCUACAACUUGAACUCGCUGCGUCUUUUGAUGUUACUGUCAGUUCAGAAUUGAUUCGGACCUUCAAGGGAACGGAGGUUUUUGCAAGCAUUUCAUCUUCUUCAACUAACAAAGAAACUACUUCUGUUGGAGUCACCCUUCAGCUCGUAUCAGCUCUGACACCUCAGAUAGGGAUGCAAUUCAAGCUGCCUCAAGUUUUGAAAAUAGGAACCAUCUCCCAGAACGUUUACUAGAUCAGAUGCUUUCCCAUCUUUGUUUGAAGUUCAGAACUGACUCCGAAGGGUUGCAUCAGCAAGAGACUCUUGAAUCCCUCCCUAAAGCCAUCCGUUCGAGCAUUUCACAUUUUCUCUUCUAUAAUCUCGUUAAUAAGGCGUACUUGUUCCGCAUGACCUUCUUUUCCAGUUAGACUAUUCAAGGGUUUCGAUGUGUUAUCAUUUUGCAGGCUCUAACUGAAGGCUAAUGUCACCACAAACGAAACAACCUCAGAAACACAAUCCAGAAAUCGUCGUGAAUGAAGAGAUGGGAUGGAAGAACUUAAAUUUGAUUGGAGCAGCAUAGGCAGGUACUUCAUGUAUUUGUCUUUUAGUUACUUUUUUUUUUCCUUAGAGACAUUUAACAAUGUAGAGUUCAUUUCCUUCAAAACAUUUUAUAAGAUUUUAUCUUCUUUUUUUCUGAAA